rnacentral:misc_RNA from 1 species
CAAUUUGCAACAGUUGGACUUACAUGCCAAUUGCAAUACAAACUAUAUAUAUUACUGAUUGAUUCCUAAAUGUAGAAGAAAUCUAUGGUGGUAAGGGCAUGCAAUUAGUUACCUGAACUAAGAACAAGACCAACCAUCUGUGUAUCACAUGAACUCCUACGCUAACUCAUAUAACACCCAUAUUUGAUUCAGAUAUGCUUCUACAUGAAUGACCACCUCUGAAGAAAACAACAUACUAUACUACACCUGCACAUUGACCAAUUAACUCUCGUGUAUCACAACAAGAAAAUUGAAUAAAAAAAAAAAAAAGGGAAAAAAAGAAGUAGAGCUUACUGUCUAAUCUCAUAAGCAGCCCUAAGAUGAAGAAUUGAUCAUUGUGCUUACCUUCUCCACAAGCACUUUCAUUUCACAUUCCAAAAUGGAUUUCAGAUCUUGGGAUAUUUUACCCUCUGAUGUCUCCAGCAAUGAUCUUAUCAUCUCAAGCUUCUGUUUUAUGUAGUUCAGUUGGGACACAUCACUUCCAGAAGAUUGUGAUGCAGAUGGCGUGUCUGCUGUCUUUGUUCCCUCCUUAGCCAAAGAAGAAGGCUUUGAACUAGAUCUCUCUUUCAGUUCCUGAGUCUUGGUUUCAGCCAAGCGAUAGCGAAGCCGGAAAGCCACACUAGCAGAUCCAAAGGGACUAGAAAGUUGAGAAUUAUUGAAUGCCUCUUCUGCCUCGGUACUCUUUAAGAACACAACCCUUGCACAGUAAUUAGUGUAGAGCAUAUCAGUUUCGUCUUUGUUUAAAGCCCCAAAUUUUCCAUAUAUUUUAAGAAGAUCAUUCUUUGAAGGCAAAGAAGAUCCUGGACCAAAUGACACAAAAAGUGUAGCACCUGAAGGUGCCCCUUUAGAUUCCUUUUCCUUCGUCUUCAUUUCUGGUGCACUGACAGCUUGUUUUCCUUUAACCUUAUCCAAUUUGGCUUCUUCACUCUUUUUGGUUUUUGUCCGAUGGGAUUUAAGUUCAGGUGAACUGUGGUCAGACUGAUUUUGCCCAGUUUCAAAUUUUUGCGACUUCUUCUUUCUACCCGGAAGAUGUUCUAUGUGCAUUUCAUAAUCGGACCCAUUGCUAUAUAUUGAACUUCUGAAUGCAGAAAAAAAUUCCUCAACCAUAUCAUGUGAGCUGGUUUCUUUCAGAUACUGCGGACUAAGAGCUGCAGACCUUAUUUUAGAUAGAACUUCACUUGCAGGUGUCUUAACUAUCAUCAGAUCAAUUU